CGAGAUGUAGCGCAGCUUGGUAGCGCACCUGCCUUGGGAGCAGGGGGUCGCAGGUUCAAAUCCUGUCAUCUCGA
rnacentral:tRNA from 1 species